rnacentral:rRNA from 1 species
UACAGAGGUCUCAAGCGUUGUUCGGAUUCAUUGGGCGUAAAGGGUGUGUAGGUGGCGCGCUAAGUCGGGGUGUGAAAUUUCGGAGCUUAACUCCGAAACUGCAUUCGAUACUGGCGUGCUUGAGGACUGGAGAGGAGACUGGAAUUCAUGGUGUAGCAGUGAAAUGCGUAGAGAUCAUGAGGAAGACCAGUGGCGAAGGCGGGUCUCUGGACAGUUCCUGACACUGAGGCACGAAGGCCAGGGGAGCAAACGGG